AACACACAUACAAAACCCGCAAAGAAGAACAGUUUGCCAUGCCAGGACCUCAUCUCAUCUCAGUCCACAGAUAUACCAGAAUCCUAGGCUACUAUUGAGAACAAGGCAAAAUCCUCAAGAUAUAAUAAGUAACAAAGGAAUGAUCUGGAGCUUUCUGACUCGGGAAGGAUUGUAUGUGGAAAAAGUGACACCUAGGGGUGCAAUCCCUAAUAACAAGUGAGAGAUCAAAGAGAUGUCGCCAGGGCUGUCAGAGGACGACUGAGGGCAGUCCAAUUAAUCAGUGGCCAGAAGCUGAGGGUAUCCUUCUUCAGGGGCGGAGCCUGGAGCCCCACACCACACUCUGCUGCGGGUCCCAGUGCAAUCCUUGCCACCUUCCUUCUGAGUCCUCAACAGCCAGAGUAGACAGAGGCUGAGGGAAACCCUUUUGGAGUGACAGAUCCUUAAACAGCCAAACCUGGGAACCUGCACAUGUAUGUUUAGUAGAAUGGUGUCAAGUCUUAGAUGUAACUGAUGAAAACUUGCACAUAAAAAAGCAAGGGUGUAAAAAAAUUUUUUAAGUGAAAAUAUAAGGUACUUUUUUCUUUUUUUUAAAGUUAAGUGCAAAUAGCCCAUCUUGCUGUCAAAGGCUAUUUAGUCUAGCUCUGCCCACCAGACAAUAUACCAAAAAAAAACCCAUCUGGCAACAGGAAUAGUGGUGUGGAAAGUAAGGAUAGUGGAUCCACUCGAGUUUGAAUCCACUUUUACUGAUCCAGUUCUUUGCAUAUCACAGAUCAGAAGUUGGAAAUUCCGAAUAACCAAUCAGAUUACUUAAUAUAGGCCAUCCUCACAGGCUGAUCAUGCUCACCUGCCUUUGAUGUGUGCCAGGAGGUUAACAUCAACACACAUACAAAACCCGUGAAGAAGAACAGUUUGCCAUGCCAAGACCUCAUCUCAUCUCAGUCCACAGAUAUACCAGAAUCCUAGGCUACUAUUGAGAACGAGGCAAAAUCCUCAAGAUAUAAUAAGUAACAAAGGAAUGAUCUGGAGCUUUCUGACUAGGGAAGGAUUGUAUGUGGAAAAAGUGACACCUAGGGGUGCAAUCCCUAAUAACAAGGUCAA